rnacentral:rRNA from 1 species
UACGAAGGGGGCUAGCGUUGCUCGGAAUUACUGGGCGUAAAGGGCGCGUAGGCGGAUAUUUAAGUUGGGGGUGAAAUCCCGGGGCUCAACCUCGGAAUUGCCUUCAAAACUGGAUAUCUUGAGUUCGGGAGAGGUGAGUGGAACUCCGAGUGUAGAGGUGAAAUUCGUAGAUAUUCGGAAGAACACCAGUGGCGAAGGCGACUCACUGGCCCGAUACUGACGCUGAGGCGCGAAAGCGUGGGGAGCGAACAGG